GACGAACGCUGGCGGCACGCUUAACACAUGCAAGUCGAGCGAUGAAAUUUUGACAGAUCCCUUCGGGGUGAAGAUAAAAUGGAUUAGCGGCGGACGGGUGAGUAACACGUGAGUAACCUGCCUUAGACAUUGGGAUAGCCUCGGGAAACCGGGAUUAAUACCGAAUAAAAUCAUAGGUGCACAUGCACUAAUGAUCAAAACUCCGGUGGUCUAAGAUGGACUCGCGUCCCAUUAGCUAGUUGGUAGGGUAACGGCCUACCAAGGCGACGAUGGGUAGCCGGCCUGAGAGGGUGAACGGCCACAUUGGAACUGAGAAACGGUCCAAACUCCUACGGGAGGCAGCAGUGGGGAAUAUUGCACAAUGGAGGGAACUCUGAUGCAGCGACGCCGCGUGAACGAAGAAGGCUUUCGAGUCGUAAAGUUCUUUUAUAUGGGAAGAUAAUGACGGUACCAUAAGAAAAAGCCCCGGCUAACUACGUGCCAGCAGCCGCGGUAAUACGUAGGGGGCUAGCGUUGUCCGGAAUCACUGGGCGUAAAGGGUUCGCAGGCGGAAAUGCAAGUCAGGUGUAAAAGGCAGUAGCUUAACUACUGUAAGCAUUUGAAACUGCAUAUCUUGAGAAGAGUAGAGGUAAGUGGAAUUUUUAGUGUAGCGGUGAAAUGCGUAGAUAUUAAAAAGAAUACCGGUGGCGAAGGCGACUUACUGGGCUCAUUCUGACGCUGAGGAACGAAAGCGUGGGUAGCAAACAGGAUUAGAUACCCUGGUAGUCCACGCUGUAAACGAUGAGUGCUAGGUGUCGGCGUAAGUCGGUGCCGCAGUUAACACAAUAAGCACUCCGCCUGGGGAGUACGUCGGCAACGAUGAAACUCAAAGGAAUUGACGGGGGCCCGCACAAGCGGAGGAACAUGUGGUUUAAUUCGAUGAUACGCGAGGAACCUUACCUGGGAUUGAAAUGUAUAGGCUGGCAACUGGAAACAGCUGCUGUUCACUUCGGUGACUUAUAUGUAGGUGCUGCAUGGUUGUCGUCAGCUCGUGCCGUGAGGUGUCGGCUUAAGUGCCAUAACGAGCGCAACCCUUAUCGUUAGUUGCUAACAGGUUAAGCUGAGGACUCUGGCGAGACUGCCGUCGUAAGGCGAGAGGAAGGUGGGGAUGACGUCAAAUCAGCACGGCCCUUAUAUCCAGGGCGACACACGUGUUACAAUGGUGAGGACAAAGGGUAGCUACCUGGUGACAGGAUGCCAAUCUCCAAACCUCAUCUCAGUUCGGAUCGAAGUCUGCAACUCGACUUCGUGAAGCUGGAUUCGCUAGUAAUCGCGCAUCAGCCAUGGCGCGGUGAAUACGUUCCCGGGCCU
rnacentral:rRNA from 1 species